UACGGAGGGAUGCAAGCGUUAUCCGGAAUGAUUGGGCGUAAAGCGUCCGCAGGUGGCGGUGUUAAGUCUGCUGUUAAAGAGUGAGGCUCAACCUCAUAAAAGCAGUGGAAACUACACAGCUAGAGUGCGGUAAGGGCAGAGGGAAUUCCUGGUGUAGCGGUGAAAUGACGUAGAGAUCGAGGAAGAACACCGGUGGCGAAAGCGCUCUGCUAGGCCGCAACUGACACUGAGGGACGAAAGCUAGGGGAGCGAAUGGG
rnacentral:rRNA from 1 species